UACGUAGGGUGCAAGCGUUGUCCGGAAUUAUUGGGCGUAAAGAGCUCGUAGGCGGUUCGUCGCGUCGGCUGUGAAAUCCCGGAGCUCAACUCCGGGUCUGCAGUCGAUACGGGCGGACUUGAGUACUGCAGGGGAGACUGGAAUUCCUGGUGUAGCGGUGAAAAUGCGCAGAUAUCAGGAGGAACACCGGUGGCGAAGGCGGGGUCUCUGGGCAGUAACUGACGCUGAGGAGCGAAAGCGUGGGGGAGCGAACAGGG
rnacentral:rRNA from 1 species